UACGGAGGGGGCGAGCGUUAUUCGGAAUUAUUGGGCGUAAAGGGCGCGUAGGCGGCCGGAUAAGUCAAAGGUGAAAUCCCUCGGCUCAACUGAGGAACUGCCUUUGAAACUGUUUGGCUCGAGUCCGGGAGGGGGUAGCGGAAUUCCCAGUGUAGCGGUGAAAUGCGUAGAUAUUGGGAGGAACACCAGUGGCGAAGGCGGCUCACUGGACUGGUAUUGACGCUGAGGUGUGAAAGCGUGGGGAGCAAACAGG
rnacentral:rRNA from 1 species